rnacentral:rRNA from 1 species
CCUACGGGGGGCUGCAGUAGGGAAUCUUGGACAAUGGGGGGAACCCUGAUCCAGCCAUGCCGCGUGUGUGAAGAAGGCCCUCGGGUUGUAAAGCACUUUCAGUGAGGAAGAACGCCUGGGGGUUAAUACCCAGCAGGAAAGACAUCACUCACAGAAGAAGCACCGGCUAACUCCGUGCCAGCAGCCGCGGUAAUACGGAGGGUGCGAGCGUUAAUCGGAAUUACUGGGCGUAAAGCGCGCGUAGGUGGCUUGAUAAGCCGGUUGUGAAAGCCCCGGGCUCAACCUGGGAACGGCAUCCGGAACUGUCAAGCUAGAGUGCAGGAGAGGAAGGUAGAAUUCCCGGUGUAGCGGUGAAAUGCGUAGAGAUCUGGAGGAAUACCAGUGGCGAAGGCGGCCUUCUGGACUGACACUGACACUGAGGUGCGAAAGCGUGGGUAGCAAACAGGAUUAGAUACCCGUGUAGUC